GAUGAAGAACGCAGCGAAAUGCGAUAAGUAAUGUGAAUUGCAGAAUUCAGUGAAUCAUCGAAUCUUUGAACGCACAUUGCGCCCGCCAGUAUUCUAGCGGGCAUGCCUGUUCGAGCGUCAUUACAACCCUCAGGCCCCCGGGCCUGGCGUUGGGGAUCGGCGGAAGCCCCCUGCGGGCACAACGCCGUCCCCCAAAUACAGUGGCGGUCCCGCCGCAGCUUCCAUUGCGUAGUAGCUAACACCUCGCAACUGGAGAGCGGCGCGGCCACGCCGUAAAACACCCAACUUCUGAAUGUUGACCUCGAAUCAGGUAGGAAUACCCGCUGAACUUAAGCAUAUCAAUAAGCGGAGGA
rnacentral:misc_RNA from 1 species